CUGGCGGCAGGCUUAACACAUGCAAGUCGAGCGGGCGUAGCAAUACGUCAGCGGCAGACGGGUGAGUAACGCGUGGGAACGUACCUUUUGGUUCGGAACAACACAGGGAAACUUGUGCUAAUACCGGAUAAGCCCUUACGGGGAAAGAUUUAUCGCCGAAAGAUCGGCCCGCGUCUGAUUAGCUAGUUGGUAGGGUAAUGGCCUACCAAGGCGACGAUCAGUAGCUGGUCUGAGAGGAUGAUCAGCCACAUUGGGACUGAGACACGGCCCAAACUCCUACGGGAGGCAGCAGUGGGGAAUAUUGGACAAUGGGGGCAACCCUGAUCCAGCCAUGCCGCGUGAGUGAUGAAGGCCCUAGGGUUGUAAAGCUCUUUUGUGCGGGAAGAUAAUGACGGUACCGCAAGAAUAAGCCCCGGCUAACUUCGUGCCAGCAGCCGCGGUAAUACGAAGGGGGCUAGCGUUGCUCGGAAUCACUGGGCGUAAAGGGUGCGUAGGCGGGUCUUUAAGUCAGGGGUGAAAUCCUGGAGCUCAACUCCAGAACUG
rnacentral:rRNA from 1 species